UGGGGAAUAUUGCACAAUGGGCGAAAGCCUGAUGCAGCAACGCCGCGUGAGUGAUGAAGGCCUUCGGGUUGUAAAGCUCUGUCUUUUGGGACGAUAAUGACGGUACCAAAGGAGGAAGCCACGGCUAACUACGUGCCAGCAGCCGCGGUAAUACGUAGGUGGCAAGCGUUGUCCGGAUUUACUGGGCGUAAAGGAUGCGUAGGCGGAUUUUUAAGUGAGAUGUGAAAUACCCGGGCUUAACUUGGGUGCUGCAUUUCAAACUGGGAAUCUAGAGUGCGGGAGAGGAGAAUGGAAUUCCUAGUGUAGCGGUGAAAUGCGUAGAGAUUAGGAAGAACACCAGUGGCGAAGGCGAUUCUCUGGACCGUAACUGACGCUGAGGCAUGAAAGCGUGGGUAGCAAACAGGAUUAGAUACCCUGGUAGUCCACGCCGUAAACGAUGAGUACUAGGUGUAGGAGGUAUCGACCCCUUCUGUGCCGCAGUUAACACAAUAAGUACUCCGCCUGGGAAGUACGAUCGCAAGA
rnacentral:rRNA from 1 species